rnacentral:tRNA from 1 species
UCGGGUGUUGACUAAUGGUAAGUCAGCUGUCUUUGAAGCAGCUCAUUGGAGGUUCGAGUCCUCCCGCCCGCGCCU